AGCAGUCGCCGCGGUAAUACGUAGGGUGCGAGCGUUAAUCGGAAUUACUGGGCGUAAAGCGGGCGCAGACGGUUACUUAAGCAGGAUGUGAAAUCCCCGGGCUCAACCUGGGAAUUGCGUUCUGAACUGGGUGGCUAGAGUGUGUCAGAGGGGGGUAGAAUUCCACGUGUAGCAGUGAAAUGCGUAGAGAUGUGGAGGAAUACCGAUGGCGAAGGCAGCCCCCUGGGAUAGCACUGACGUUCAUGCCCGAAAGUGUGGGUAGCAAACAGGAUUAGAUACCCCCGUAGUCCCUGUCUCUUAUAC
rnacentral:rRNA from 1 species